GCUCCGGUGGCUUAGUGGUUAGAAGAGCGUCUGCCCUGCGUACAGGAAGUCGCGGGUUCAUUCCCCGGCCGAGUCA